UGAGGCCCAGCUAACUGCCGCCAAAGCAGAAGUAGAGCGGCUGAAGAUGGAGUUGUACGAGGUGGAGUGCCAAGUCGCUGCUGUGACUCGACGGCUUGAUCACGCCAAUGAGCACCACAAGCUCACCACCGAGGCUCUGAAGGCCGGCGGAGCUGAGACAGAAGGCAGAGGCUCAGUCAGAGAAGAUUGCCUCUUUGAAGGAGGAGUUGAAGUCUGCAGGGGAGGUAGCAGUUCAGAACUUCAUCGACCACUUUGAAGACCAUCCCCUGUAUGACGACUUGGCCAAUUUUUGGGCCUCUUGGAGUGCCCAAACCUUAUUGGGUUGACUGAAAGAGGUGCACCCCACUUUGGACAUCUCCUCAUUGGAGGCAAAGUUCGGGGGGCCAACUGGAGGUCAGCCUGAUAGGCUUGCUGAGGAAGCUCCGGAGGCCCCGGAGGCGACCGAUGUAGAAGUCCCUCG
rnacentral:lncRNA from 1 species